AUUGAACGCUGGCGGCAGGCCUAACACAUGCAAGUCGAGCGAGCGGCGGACGGGUGAGUAAUGUAUGGGGACUGCCCGAUAGAGGGGGGUAACUACUGGAAACGGUAGCUAAUACCGCAUACUAUCGGAUAACCCAUAUGGGAUUAGCUAGUAGGGGAGGUAAUGGCUCACCUAGGCGACGAUCCCUAGCUGGUCUGAGAGGAGGAUCAGCCACACGGGGAGUGAUACACGGCCCAGACUCCUACGGAGGGAGCAGUGGGGAAGAUUGCACAAUGGGCGCAAGCCUGACGCAGCCAUGCGGCGUGUAGGAAGAAGGCCCUAGGGUUGGAAAGUACGUUCAGUCGGUAGGCGGUACCUACAGAAGAAGCACCGGCUAACUCCGUGCCAGCAGCCGCGGUAAUAC
rnacentral:rRNA from 1 species